ensembl:lncRNA
UGUUAUGGUACUUUUGAUGAAAAGUGAAUUUCUGACCUUCAAAUGUCACUUUUUUCAACUUAUCAUACGUUAUCAUCAAGUUUUACAUUUUAAUGUAAACAAUCGUAUUUCGUAUUAUUUUAGGUCAGAAACAUUUCAUAGUACUAUAUUAUGUCUAACUAUGUGAAAAAAAUCAAAUUGGAGUACGUCGGGCACUUGAUUACAUGAGUUUGUUAGAAAAACCACUUUCCUUUGCUCCUAGCGCCUUCUCAGUCGCUGUAUAGCGUUUUGAGCGGAUAAAGAGCACAAGUGUGCAUGGACACAUAGGAUGAAUGGAAACAAGUUUUGUUAUGGUACUUUUGAUGAAAAGUGAAUUUCUGACCUUCAAAUGUCACUUUUUUCAACUUAUCAUACUUUAUCAUCAAGUUUUACAUUUUAAUGUAAACAAUCAUAUUUCGUAUUAUUUUAGGUCAGAAACAUUUCAUAGUAGUAUAUUAUGUCUAACUAUGUGAAAAAAAUCAAAUUGGAGUACGUCGGGCAAUUGAUUACAUGAGUUUGUUAGAAAAACCACUUUCCUUUGCUCCUAGCGCCUUCUCGAAGCGCUGUAUAGCGUUUUGAGCGGAUAAAGAGCACAAGUGUGCAUGGACACAUAGGAUGAAUGGAAACAAGUUUUGUUAUGGUACUUUUGAUGAAAAGUGAAUUUCUGACCUUCAAAUGUCACUUUUUUCAACUUAUCAUACGUUAUCAUCAAGUUUUACAUUUUAAUGUAAACAAUCAUAUUUCGUAUUAUUUUAGGGUCAGAAACAUUUCAUAGUACUAUAUUAUGUCUAACUAUGUGAAAAAAAUCAAAUUGGAGUACGUCGGGCACUUGAUUACAUGAGUUUGUUAGAAAAACCACUUUCCUUUGCUCCUAGCGCCUUCUCGUUCGCUGUAUAGCGUUUUGAGCGGAUAAAGAGCACAAGUGUGCAUGGACACACAGGAUGAAUGGAAACAAGUUUUGUUAUGGUACUUUUGAUGAAAAGUGACUUUCUGACCUUCAAAUGUCACUUUUUCAACUUAUCAUACUUUAUCAUCAAGUUUUACAUUUUAAUGUAAACAAUCAUAUUUCGUAUUAUUUUAGGUCAGAAACAUUUCAUAGUACUAUAUUAUGUCUAACUAUGUGAAAAAAAUCAAAUUGGAGUACGUCGGGCAAUUGAUUACAUGAGUUUGUUAGAAAAACCACUUUCCUUUGCUCCUAGCGCCUUCUACGUUCGCUGUAUAGCGUUUUGAGCGGAUAAAGAGCACAAGUGUGCAUGGACACAUAGGAUGAAUGGAAACAAGUUUUGUUAUGGUACUUUUGAUGAAAAGUGACUUUCUGACCUUCAAAUGUCACUUUUUUCAACUUAUCAUACUUUAUCAUCAAGUUUUACAUUUUAAUGUAAACAAUCAUAUUUCGUAUUAUUUUAGGUCAGAAACAUUUCAUAGUACUAUAUUAUGUCUACCUAUGUAAAAAAAAUCAAAUUGGAGUACGUCGGGCAAUUGAUUACGAGUUUGUUAGAAAAACCACUUUCCUUUGCUCCUAGCGCCUUCUGAAGCGCUGUAUAGCGUUUUGAGCGGAUAAAGAGCACAAGUGUGCAUGGACACACAGGAUGAAUGGAAACAAGUUUUGUUAUGGUACUUUUGAUGAAAAGUGACUUUCUGACCUUCAAAUGUCACUUUUUUCAACUUAUCAUACGUUAUCAUCAAGUUUUACAUUUUAAUGUAAACAAUCAUAUUUCGUAUUAUUUAGGUCAGAAACAUUUCAUAGUACUAUAUUAUGUCUACCUAUGUAAAAAAAAUCAAAUUGGAGUACGUCGGGCAAUUGAUUACGAGUUUGUUAGAAAAACCACUCUCCUUUGC